rnacentral:rRNA from 1 species
GUACCGUGAGGGAAAGGUGAAAAGCACCCCGACGAGGGGAGUGAAAUAGACCUGAAACCGGAUGCCUACAAGCAGUCGGAGCCUCUUAUGGGGUGACGGCGUACCUUUUGUAUAAUGGGUCAGCGAGUUUCUGUUUGCAGCGAGCUUAAGCCGAUAGGUGUAGGCGUAGCGAAAGCGAGUCUGAAUAGGGCGCCGAGUUGCUGGCAGAAGACCCGAAACCGAGUGAUCUAGCCAUGGCCAGGCUGAAGGUGCGGUAACACGCACUGGAGGGCCGAACCCACGCCUGUUGAAAAAGUCGGGGAUGAGCUGUGGCUAGGGGUGAAAGGCCAAUCAAACUCGGAAAUAGCUGGUUCUCCGCGAAAUCUAUUGAGGUAGACCGUCAGGUAUUUACCCCGGGGGGUAGAGCACUGGAUGGGCUAGGGGGGCCCAAAGCCUUACCAAACCUAACCAAACUCCGAAUACCCGGAAGUAUAGCCUGGCAGACAGACAGUGGGUGCUAAGGUCCAUUGUCGAGAGGGAAACAGCCCAGACCACCAGCUAAGGCCCCCAAAUCGUGGCUAAGUGGGAAAGGAUGUGGGGAUUCCAAAACAACCAGGAGGUUGGCUUAGAAGCAGCCAUCCUUUAAAGAAAGCGUAAUAGCUCACUGGUCUAAUAGAAACCCUGCGCCGAAAAUGUAACGGGGCUCAAGCCACGUGCCGAAGCUGUGGGUGCAUAUCUAUGAUAUGCGCGGUAGCGGAGCGUUCCGUAAGUCUGUGAAGGAGACGGGGUGACCCUCUCUGGAGAUAUCGGAAGUGCGAAUGCUGACAUGAGUAGCGACAAACAGUGCGAGAAACACUGUCGCCGAAAGUCCAAGGGUUCCUGCGCAAGGUUAAUCCACGCAGGGUUAGUCGGCCCCUAAGGCGAGGGCGAAAGCCGUAGUCGAUGGGAAUCAGGUGAACACUCCUGAACCUGCCAGAAGUGACGAAUGCAAGAUGUUGUCAGUCCUUAAUGGAUUGGACUGGCUUUUUGCGCAUUCCAGGAAAUAGCUCUGGCGUAUAGACCGUACCCGAAACCGACACAGGUGGACUGGUAGAGAAUACCAAGGCGCUUGAGAGAACGAUGCUGAAGGAACUAGGCAAAUUACUCGUGUAACUUCGGGAUAAGCGAGACCCGUUGGUGGGCAACCAUUGGCGGGUGGCACAGACCAGGGGGUAGCGACUGUUUAGUAAAAACACAGGGCUCUGCGAAGUCGAAAGACGACGUAUAGGGCCUGACGCCUGCCCGGUGCCGGAAGGUUAAGAGGAGGUGUGAGAGCACUGAAUUGAAGCCCCGGUAAACGGCGGCCGUAACUAUAACNNUUCCUUGUCGGGUAAGUUCCGACCUGCACGAAUGGCGUAACGACUUCCCCGCUGUCUCCAGCAUCGGCUCAGCGAAAUUGAAUUCCCCGUGAAGAUGCGGGGUAUCCGCGGUCAGACGGAAAGACCCUAUGAACCUUUACUGCAGCUUUACAGUGGCAUCAGAGACAUUCUGUGUAGGAUAGGUGGGAGGCUUUGAAGCGGGGGCGCCAGUUCCCGUGGAGCCAUCCUUGAAAUACCACCCUGAAUUUUUCUGAUGUCUAACCGCGGUCAGUUAGCCUGAUCCGGGACCCUGUAUGGUGGGCAGUUUGACUGGGGCGGUCGCCUCCCAAAGUGUAACGGAGGCGCGCGAUGGUGGGCUCAGGCCGGUCGGAAACCGGCUGUUGAGUGCAAUGGCAUAAGCCCGCCUGACUGCGAGAGUGACAGCUCGAGCAGAGACGAAAGUCGGGCAUAGUGAUCCGGUGGUUCCGCAUGGAAGGGCCAUCGCUCAACGGAUAAAAGCUACCCCGGGGAUAACAGGCUUAUCUCCCCCAAGAGUCCACAUCGACGGGGAGGUUUGGCACCUCGAUGUCGGCUCANNNNNNNNNNNNNNNNNNNNNNNNNNNNNNNNNNNNNNGCUCUCUUACCGUUCCCUUAAAAGAACGGCCCGUGCACAGAAAUCAUCCAUGCAAAACGUCAUACUUCAUCAUACCCAACCGUCCACACCACCCCAACUCAAGGGUGAUUUGGAUGACCUGGUGGCCAUGGCGGGGAGUGAUCCACCCGAUCCCAUCCCGAACUCGGCCGUGAAAACCCCCAGCGCCUAUGAUACU